GACGAACGCUGGCGGCGUGCUUAACACAUGCAAGUCGAGCGGUAAGGCCCUUUCGGGGGUACACGAGCGGCGAACGGGUGAGUAACACGUGGGUGACCUGCCCUCAGCUCUGGGAUAAGCCUGGGAAACCGGGUCUAAUACCGGAUAUGACUCCAUGACGCAUGUUGUGGGGUGGAAAGCCUUGUGCGGCUGAGGAUGGGCCCGCGGCCUAUCAGCUUGUUGGUGGGGUGAUGGCCUACCAAGGCGACGACGGGUAGCCGGCCUGAGAGGGCGACCGGCCACACUGGGACUGAGACACGGCCCAGACUCCUACGGGGGGCGAGCAGUGGGGAAGUCUUGCGCAAUGGGCGAAAGCCUGACGCAGCGACGCCGCGUGAGGGAUGACGGCCU
rnacentral:rRNA from 1 species